rnacentral:tRNA from 1 species
AUUUUAAUAGCUUAUAUUAGAGCGUGACACUGAAGAUGUUAAAGUAGUAAUUUAUUUACUUUAAAAUA